rnacentral:rRNA from 1 species
CUACGGGGGGCUCCAGUGGGGAAUUUUGGACAAUGGGCGCAAGCCUGAUCCAGCAAUGCCGCGUGCAGGAUGAAGGCCUUCGGGUUGUAAACUGCUUUUGUACGGAGCGAAAAGGCUCUCUCUAAUACAGGGGGCUCAUGACGGUACCGUAAGAAUAAGCACCGGCUAACUACGUGCCAGCAGCCGCGGUAAUACGUAGGGUGCGAGCGUUAAUCGGAAUUACUGGGCGUAAAGCGUGCGCAGGCGGUUAUGUAAGACAGAUGUGAAAUCCCCGGGCUCAACCUGGGACCUGCAUUUGUGACUGCAUGGCUGGAGUACGGCAGAGGGGGAUGGAAUUCCGCGUGUAGCAGUGAAAUGCGUAGAUAUGCGGAGGAACACCGAUGGCGAAGGCAAUCCCCUGGGCCUGUACUGACGCUCAUGCACGAAAGCGUGGGGAGCAAACAGGAUUAGAUACCCUUGUAGUC